UGGGGAAUUUUGGACAAUGGGCGAAAGCCUGAUCCAGCAAUGCCGCGUGUGUGAAGAAGGCCUUCGGGUUGUAAAGCACUUUGUCCGGAAAGAAAUCCUUGGCUCUAAUACAGUCGGGGGAUGACGGUACCGGAAGAAUAAGCACCGGCUAACCACGUGCCAGCAGCCGCGGUAAUACGUAGGGUGCAAGCGUUAAUCGGAAUUACUGGGCGUAAAGCGUGCGCAGGCGGUUUGCUAAGACCGAUGUGAAAUCCCCGGGCUCAACCUGGGGACUGCAUUGGUGACUGGCAGGCUAGAGUAUGGCAGAGGGGGGUAGAAUUCCACGUGUAGCAGUGAAAUGCGUAGAGAUGUGGAGGAAUACCGAUGGCGAA
rnacentral:rRNA from 1 species